UUCAGCGGUCCAUUACACUUUCCCGUAAUGGACUGACGUUAUCGACGAUCCAUUACGAGAUGAAAAACAGAGAAAUUCUGAACGAAAAGUGUCAAGACAGUUUAGAUGAAUGGAUAUCCUGAGAUAAUUUAUAUUCAUCACGAAUAUCACGAGAUAACCAAAUGACAUCCUUUUGGCGGACUUGUGAAGAGCUAUAUUAGUCAUUCAAGUCAGUUAGAACUGAAGAGACAGAAAAAAAAGGAUCCAGAAGAAAAAUCCGGAAUGAAGAACGGAGAAGACGUAUGCUGACUAUGACUUGGAAAAUAUGUAUCGAAGCGGACAACUAAAAAAGCUGAAAGUUCCAACUCUCGACCUUUACAUUAAACACCAUAGGAUAAACUGUUGACAUGCAAGGUCUUCUAAAGUCCGAGAAAAUAGACAUUAUAACAGCCCACAUUAUUAGGUUUAUACUGGCAAGAAAUAUGGACCAAGCUUUGUCUUAUUGGUUUAGUUUCCUUAACACACGCAACUACAAUCAUGUGCAAAAAUUAUGAGACUUUACGUAUUUUAAACACGUUUUUUCCAUUUUGAAAACUAUUU